CUGGAAACCACUGCUUCCUAAUGAUAAAAAGAUACAUUUUUCAAAUUGAUUGACUAGGAACCACAUAAUGGCUUUUGACUUCAAAAAAUGGAAGUUAAUAAAUAAACCUUCCCUGUUAGCACUCAGAAAGGUCCUAAAAGAGUCUUAUCUGUGCAUAUGGGUAUGCCAAUAAAUUUUAUUACUGGCAGUUUCACAGGGAAGUUUUAUAGCUAUGUAGGUAGACCUACUUUAAAUCAAAAUGGAACACUUUACAUUGGAAAAUAAAAUCCUCUUUUGAAUAAAUGACAGAUUUUAAAAUAAUGUAAAAAACAUGAAUGUAAAUGAUUUUAAAUAUUAGUUCUCCAGAUUCGAAUUUUCUUCUUCAAAAAAGUUACUGAGCUCUGAUAGCACUUUCAUUUUUGUGAAGGUUACUCAGCUAUAGUUAAUUCCCAUUUUCUCCUUCUGAAGAGUAUGACAAAGGGACUUUUAAGAGCUAAUCAAAUAAACAACGAGUGUUCAAAAAUAACUUAAUUAUCAUAUUUCAUUGAAUAGUACAUUUUGUCAAGUUUUUUGUUUGCUUGUUGCCAAGUCAGAUGUUCAGGCCUGUGUUCUGUUUAUAGAAUGUGUGAUCUGAAAGCCCAAACAGCACUGGUCAUUUUGACAGCCUUAAUGAGUCAUUUAGAUUGGC
rnacentral:lncRNA from 1 species